rnacentral:rRNA from 1 species
GAUUAAGUUAUUAAGGGCGCACGGUGGAUGCCUUGGCACUAGAAGCCGAUGAAGGACGUUACUAACGACGAUAUGCUUUGGGGAGCUGUAAGUAGGCUUUGAUCCAGAGAUUUCCGAAUGGGGAAACCCAGCAUGAGUUAUGUCAUGUUAUCGAUAUGUGAAUACAUAGCAUAUCAGAAGGCACACCCGGAGAACUGAAACAUCUUAGUACCCGGAGGAAGAGAAAGAAAAUUCGAUUCCCUUAGUAGCGGCGAGCGAAACGGGAAGAGCCCAAACCAACAAGCUUGCUUGUUGGGGUUGUAGGACACUCUAUACGGAGUUACAAAGGACGACAUUAGACGAAUCAUCUGGAAAGAUGAAUCAAAGAAGGUAAUAAUCCUGUAGUCGAAAAUGUUGUCUCUCUUGAGUGGAUCCUGAGUACGACGGAGCACGUGAAAUUCCGUCGGAAUCUGGGAGGACCAUCUCCUAAGGCUAAAUACUCUCUAGUGACCGAUAGUGAACCAGUACCGUGAGGGAAAGGUGAAAAGCACCCCGGAAGGGGAGUGAAAUAGAACCUGAAACCGUGUGCUUACAAGUAGUCAGAGCCCGUUAAUGGGUGAUGGCGUGCCUUUUGUAGAAUGAACCGGCGAGUUACGAUUUGAUGCAAGGUUAAGCAGUAAAUGUGGAGCCGUAGCGAAAGCGAGUCUGAAUAGGGCGUUUAGUAUUUGGUCGUAGACCCGAAACCAGGUGAUCUACCCUUGGUCAGGUUGAAGUUCAGGUAACACUGAAUGGAGGACCGAACCGACUUACGUUGAAAAGUGAGCGGAUGAACUGAGGGUAGCGGAGAAAUUCCAAUCGAACCUGGAGAUAGCUGGUUCUCUCCGAAAUAGCUUUAGGGCUAGCCUCAAGUGAUGAUUAUUGGAGGUAGAGCACUGUUUGGACGAGGGGCCCCUCUCGGGUUACCGAAUUCAGACAAACUCCGAAUGCCAAUUAAUUUAACUUGGGAGUCAGAACAUGGGUGAUAAGGUCCGUGUUCGAAAGGGAAACAGCCCAGACCACCAGCUAAGGUCCCAAAAUAUAUGUUAAGUGGAAAAGGAUGUGGCGUUGCCCAGACAACUAGGAUGUUGGCUUAGAAGCAGCCAUCAUUUAAAGAGUGCGUAAUAGCUCACUAGUCGAGUGACACUGCGCCGAAAAUGUACCGGGGCUAAACAUAUUACCGAAGCUGUGGAUUGUCCUUUGGACAAUGGUAGGAGAGCGUUCUAAGGGCGUUGAAGCAUGAUCGUAAGGACAUGUGGAGCGCUUAGAAGUGAGAAUGCCGGUGUGAGUAGCGAAAGACGGGUGAGAAUCCCGUCCACCGAUUGACUAAGGUUUCCAGAGGAAGGCUCGUCCGCUCUGGGUUAGUCGGGUCCUAAGCUGAGGCCGACAGGCGUAGGCGAUGGAUAACAGGUUGAUAUUCCUGUACCACCUAUAAUCGUUUUAAUCGAUGGGGGGACGCAGUAGGAUAGGCGAAGCGUGCGAUUGGAUUGCACGUCUAAGCAGUAAGGCUGAGUAUUAGGCAAAUCCGGUACUCGUUAAGGCUGAGCUGUGAUGGGGAGAAGACAUUGUGUCUUCGAGUCGUUGAUUUCACACUGCCGAGAAAAGCCUCUAGAUAGAAAAUAGGUGCCCGUACCGCAAACCGACACAGGUAGUCAAGAUGAGAAUUCUAAGGUGAGCGAGCGAACUCUCGUUAAGGAACUCGGCAAAAUGACCCCGUAACUUCGGGAGAAGGGGUGCUCUUUAGGGUUAACGCCCAGAAGAGCCGCAGUGAAUAGGCCCAAGCGACUGUUUAUCAAAAACACAGGUCUCUGCUAAACCGUAAGGUGAUGUAUAGGGGCUGACGCCUGCCCGGUGCUGGAAGGUUAAGAGGAGUGGUUAGCUUCUGCGAAGCUACGAAUCGAAGCCCCAGUAAACGGCGGCCGUAACUAUAACGGUCCUAAGGUAGCGAAAUUCCUUGUCGGGUAAGUUCCGACCCGCACGAAAGGCGUAACGAUUUGGGCACUGUCUCAACGAGAGACUCGGUGAAAUCAUAGUACCUGUGAAGAUGCAGGUUACCCGCGACAGGACGGAAAGACCCCGUGGAGCUUUACUGUAGCCUGAUAUUGAAAUUCGGCACAGCUUGUACAGGAUAGGUAGGAGCCUUUGAAACGUGAGCGCUAGCUUACGUGGAGGCGCUGGUGGGAUACUACCCUAGCUGUGUUGGCUUUCUAACCCGCACCACUUAUCGUGGUGGGAGACAGUGUCAAGCGGGCAGUUUGACUGGGGCGGUCGCCUCCUAAAAGGUAACGGAGGCGCUCAAAGGUUCCCUCAGAAUGGUUGGAAAUCAUUCAUAGAGUGUAAAGGCAUAAGGGAGCUUGACUGCGAGACCUACAAGUCGAGCAGGGUCGAAAGACGGACUUAGUGAUCCGGUGGUUCCGCAUGGAAGGGCCAUCGCUCAACGGAUAAAAGCUACCCCGGGGAUAACAGGCUUAUCUCCCCCAAGAGUUCACAUCGACGGGGAGGUUUGGCACCUCGAUGUCGGCUCAUCGCAUCCUGGGGCUGUAGUCGGUCCCAAGGGUUGGGCUGUUCGCCCAUUAAAGCGGUACGCGAGCUGGGUUCAGAACGUCGUGAGACAGUUCGGUCCCUAUCCGUCGUGGGCGUAGGAAAUUUGAGAGGAGCUGUCCUUAGUACGAGAGGACCGGGAUGGACAUACCUCUGGUGUACCAGUUGUCGUGCCAACGGCAUAGCUGGGUAGCUAUGUGUGGACGGGAUAAGUGCUGAAAGCAUCUAAGCAUGAAGCCCCCCUCAAGAUGAGAUUUCCCAACUUCGGUUAUAAGAUCCCUCAAAGAUGAUGAGGUUAAUAGGUUCGAGGUGGAAGCAUGGUGACAUGUGGAGCUGACGAAUACUAAUCGAUCGAAGACUUAAUCAA